AGCGUACACGGUGGAUGCCCUGGCAGUCAGAGGCGAUGAAGGGCGUGCUAAUCUGCGAUAAGCGCCGGUAAGGUGAUAUGAACCGUUAUAACCGGCGAUACCCGAAUGGGGAAACCCAGUGUGACUCGUCACACUAUCAUUAACUGAAUCCAUAGGUUAAUGAGGCGAACCGGGGGAACUGAAACAUCUAAGUACCCCGAGGAAAAGAAAUCAACCGAGAUUCCCCCAGUAGCGGCGAGCGAACGGGGAGGAGCCCAGAGCCUGAAUCAGCAUGUGUGUUAGUGGAAGCGUCUGGAAAGGCGCGCGAUACAGGGUGACAGCCCCGUACACAAAAGCGCAUGUGCUGUGAGCUCGAUGAGUAGGGCGGGACACGUGGUAUCCUGUCUGAAUAUGGGGGGACCAUCCUCCAAGGCUAAAUACUCCUGACUGACCGAUAGUGAACCAGUACCGUGAGGGAAAGGCGAAAAGAACCCCGGCGAGGGGAGUGAAAAAGAACCUGAAACCGUGUACGUACAAGCAGUGGGAGCACAGGUUUACCUGUGUGACUGCGUACCUUUUGUAUAAUGGGUCAGCGACUUAUAUUCUGUAGCAAGGUUAACCGUAUAGGGGAGCCGUAGGGAAACCGAGUCUUAACCGGGCGUUAAGUUGCAGGGUAUAGACCCGAAACCCGGUGAUCUAGCCAUGGGCAGGUUGAAGGUUGGGUAACACUAACUGGAGGACCGAACCGACUAAUGUUGAAAAAUUAGCGGAUGACCUGUGGCUGGGGGUGAAAGGCCAAUCAAACCGGGAGAUAGCUGGUUCUCCCCGAAAGCUAUUUAGGUAGCGCCUCGUGAAUUCAUCUCCGGGGGUAGAGCACUGUUUCGGCUAGGGGGCCAUCCCGGCUUACCAACCCGAUGCAAACUGCGAAUACCGGAGAAUGUUAUCACGGGAGACACACGGCGGGUGCUAACGUCCGUCGUGAAGAGGGAAACAACCCAGACCGCCAGCUAAGGUCCCAAAGUCAUGGUUAAGUGGGAAACGAUGUGGGAAGGCCCAGACAGCCAGGAUGUUGGCUUAGAAGCAGCCAUCAUUUAAAGAAAGCGUAAUAGCUCACUGGUCGAGUCGGCCUGCGCGGAAGAUGUAACGGGGCUAAACCAUGCACCGAAGCUGCGGCAGCGACGCUGAUGCGUUGUUGGGUAGGGGAGCGUUCUGUAAGCCUGUGAAGGUGGCCUGUGAGGGUUGCUGGAGGUAUCAGAAGUGCGAAUGCUGACAUAAGUAACGAUAAAGCGGGUGAAAAGCCCGCUCGCCGGAAGACCAAGGGUUCCUGUCCAACGUUAAUCGGGGCAGGGUGAGUCGACCCCUAAGGCGAGGCCGAAAGGCGUAGUCGAUGGGAAACGGGUUAAUAUUCCCGUACUUGGUGUUACUGCGAAGGGGGGACGGAGAAGGCUAUGUUGGCCGGGCGACGGUUGUCCCGGUUUAAGCGUGUAGGUGUGUGUUCCAGGUAAAUCCGGUUCACUUUAACACUGAGGCGUGAUGACGAGGCACUACGGUGCUGAAGCAACAAAUGCCCUGCUUCCAGGAAAAGCCUCUAAGCAUCAGGUAACAUCAAAUCGUACCCCAAACCGACACAGGUGGUCAGGUAGAGAAUACCAAGGCGCUUGAGAGAACUCGGGUGAAGGAACUAGGCAAAAUGGUGCCGUAACUUCGGGAGAAGGCACGCUGACACGUAGGUGAAGUGAUUUACUCAUGGAGCUGAAGUCAGUCGAAGAUACCAGCUGGCUGCAACUGUUUAUUAAAAACACAGCACUGUGCAAACACGAAAGUGGACGUAUACGGUGUGACGCCUGCCCGGUGCCGGAAGGUUAAUUGAUGGGGUCAGCGCAAGCGAAGCUCCUGAUCGAAGCCCCGGUAAACGGCGGCCGUAACUAUAACGGUCCUAAGGUAGCGAAAUUCCUUGUCGGGUAAGUUCCGACCUGCACGAAUGGCGUAACGACAGCGGCGCUGUCU
rnacentral:rRNA from 1 species